rnacentral:lncRNA from 1 species
UGCAGGUCUCCAAUGCCCAGUUACACAUUGCUUUGGAAUUUGAUUCUCAUUAGGGUUCUCUUCAUUAAUGUUAACUUUCUCACUGUUUACUCCAACCCCAUCACUGCAAUCAGAACCUUUACCUUCCAUCACAACAUCACUAUUGUUGGGGUGCUCCUCAUCAAAAUCUCUCGCAAUAUUGCAUUCCCUCAUGAAUGGAAAACCCCAGCUUGAACCACCAUGAGAGGGGCAAAAAUCUUGAGAUGUAGAAACAUCAACACCAUAGUUGGGACAAAGAGAGAGAGUACCCAUGUCUGUGCACACCAUUCCCAUGGAAGGAGAAAGAGAAAGAAGGAUAUGAAGAUGAGUUUGUGUUUGUUUUUAUGAUUUCUGGUGAAGAGUAUACAACACUUGCUUUCAUUUUCUUUAUCCAUCAUUAAUAAUAUCAUUAUCUGAUGGAAGAAGAUGGAAGUAGGGUCAGUCAUUACUAAGGGAGGAAGAAGAUAGAAGGUUGGGG